CGACCUUCCGCCUCUGCCGACAAGAUGGAAGCUGGGCUGGGUCGCGUCCGGGAACCGGCGCUGUGAGGCAGGACAUGGGGAGGGGCACAGAACCCCGCAGCCCUGCUGAAGCAGCCGGCCUGUGUCUCGGUCUGUAGGACCCAGGAGUCUGGGCUGCAACUUUGGGAUGACUUGGAGCCCAGUCCACCAGGAGGAAAAUGCUACCCGUGCGGGGUCCUGACACCUGCAGAGGGGGCUUUGCCAUGAUUUCUUCUGGAUGUUUCUAUAAGGAGGUGAUCCUUACUGAUAUGCAUACUCGCCUCAGCGAAGCAUUGAGAAAAGGAAAAACAGAGGACAACGAUUCGGGUCACUUGUCAAAACAACCCAGUUGUACCUCUAUUAAGAAACCGAAACAAGAGGAGUCUCUGUACCUGACUAAUUGCCGUACCAACCUUAAUGAAAUGGAAACUCAUCUAAGCAAAGACCAGAGAAAAAGAAAAAUAGAGGAAAACUCAUCAGAACCAAGUUUUACUUGUGUUAAGAAAGCGAAAUGAGAUGACUUUAAGGACCUGUGCAGGUAUCCAAACCUGGAAGCCUUUGCUUUUGAUGUCAGGCUUGUUUUUGACAACUGUGAAGCAUUUAAUCAAGACGAUUCUGAUACAGGCAGAGCUGGCCACAGUAUGAGGAAGUAUUUUGAGAAAAAGUGGACAGAUACUCUCAAAGUGAGCCGAAGCUACAAUACUCUCUUUUCUCCUUUUCAAUAAGGAGGAAUAAGACCAGCAAUGUCAACUGUAUUUUACAUAAAUGUGCAAGGCACACGCAUAAUGACUUUUUUUCUUAGUAAAAGUAUCACACACAAAAACAAUAUCAGAAGAAUGAAACCAUUUUUAAAGGCUUCACUCCUGCAACAACCAAGGCCCUUGGUUAUUGGUUUGUGUGAUUUAUCAGCUAAUUUAGGUAGAACAGGGAAGCACACCCAAAGAAUUUUCAAAGGUAAGGGUGUUAUAGAGUAACAGCAAUUAAAAUAUAUCAAAUCGCACUGAAUAUUCAACACCAGAGCUCUAAUGUGGGAGAUGGUUCUCCUUUCCCUCUCAAUAAAUGUCUACUUUUCCUUUU